rnacentral:misc_RNA from 1 species
GAUGAAGAACGCAGCGAAAUGCGAUACGUAAUGUGAAUUGCAGAAUUCAGUGAAUCAUCGAGUCUUUGAACGCACAUUGCGCCCUCUGGUAUUCCGGAGGGCAUGCCUGUCCGAGCGUCAUUGCUGCCCUCAAGCACGGCUUGUGUGUUAGGCCCCGUCCUCCGCUCGCGGGGGACGGGCCUGAAAGGCAGCGGCGGCACCGCGUCCGGUCCUCGAGCGUAUGGGGCUUUGUCACCCGCUCUGUAGGCCCGGCCGGCGCCUGCCGAUCAACCACACUUUUAUUCAGGUUGACCUCGGAUCAGGUAGGGAUACCUGCUGAACUUAAGCAUAUCAAUAAGCGGAGGA